rnacentral:lncRNA from 1 species
AUGGCUGGGUACUCCAAAGGGCCUCUCCCCCCCAAUACAGUAAAAAUUCAGUGUUCUCUGAGCACCACCAUUUCCUGGUUCACUGCUAUUUUCUGGACACUUCCUCCCAUCAUAGCCCUGCAAGUUCAACUGGCAGAAAGUUGCCACAGAGCAUCUGUGCGUGGGUCAGUAGAAGGCUCGGGUCUGCUACCAUGUGCCAGGGGCUUUAUAGACAUGACUCUUUAUAGACAUGGUUUCGUUUGUUUUACUAGUAGCAGUGCCUCACCUGUACAUCUAGUGCUCACAGCACAGUACCCACACAGUGAAUGUUUCCAAACAAGUGAACUCAACAACAAGCACAUUUUACUGGUUAUAAAGCAUAUGUUAAAUUCAACAAAAUAUAAAAGUUUUAAAUAAAAUCAAAUGNNNNNNNNNNNNNNNNNNNNNNNNCUUAAGAGAAAUACAAAUAUACGAAGUUUUAUAUACUUUUAUAAAAAGUUGAGGCACUGAUGUUCUGUGGCUAAUGAUAAUAAUUAUAUUACUUUAGCAUCAUACAUCAUAUAUUGAUAGUAAAAUUAUACAACAUUAACUCUUUGCUUUUGAGCAGUUAUGAGCUUACUAUUUUAAUAUACAUCAUGUAUUUAGUACUCAUUAUUACUUUUGUAUAAAUAAUUUCAUAAUGGUAGCACAUGAUACUGAGGGAAAAGGAAAACAGUUACUAAUCUUACAAAUGCUAGUAAGAAAGAAACUCAUUAAUGUACACUUGAUUUGAGGGGGUAAGCAUAAUUUGGUUCUAUGACUUAAUGGAAUCUAGGAGAAUGAAACAAAGUGUUUUUAAACUGGAAGAUACUCAUGUUCAUCAAUUUCAAGCCCUUCAUCUUUCAUAUGAGGAAAUGGCUGCACACUAGCCUAAAUGACUUAUCUAAGGUCACAUAAUUAUACAAUGAGAGAUGCCCCAGGUCUCCCAGUAACAAAUCUAGGAUCUUUUCCAUUUCAUAAUAACAGGUUUAUACUAUAAUAUGAUCAUAUUUUUUUUUAAAGAUCAAAUCAGCUAUCAAGGAAAACCAACACAUGGUAAAAUUUGAGACUGAAAAAGAAUCCAGAGCAAGGGUUUAUUAAAAAUAUAUAUUGACAACUUUGUAACAUAAUUAGUGUGGAACACAGAGUUCUUAACAUUGAUAGCAGAAAUUCAUUGGUUGUAGUAA